CAUUAAUCUAUACACACCUCACCUAACAGUUAUUGAUGAGUAUAAAUCAAUGAGUGAACAAUACUUUGUCCAUUGCUUCACUAAGCAAGAUGCAGCAGGCUUGGUCUCUAAGUCCUAUGGACUCACCUAACAAUUAUUGGUAUAUUUCUUAAUUAAGUUAGAUCUAUCAUUCACCAGCAAGUGCAAAGCCAUCAUUGAGAUCCUAACCUAAUAGUUAUUGGGUCCAAAUCUAUCUCUAUCCCAAGACACAAAUACAAAUAGAGUUAUUAUACCUUUCCGAU
rnacentral:lncRNA from 1 species